rnacentral:rRNA from 1 species
GCUUAGAAAUUAACCACGACAAAACGAUAACAACUUGUCCGCCAGAAAAUUACGGGCGAAAGCCUAAAACUCAAAAGACUUGACGGUGUCCCAAUCCUGCCUAGAGGAGCCUGUUUCAUAAUCGAUAAUCCCCGUUCAACCCGACCUUUCCUUGAAAUAUUCAGCCUAUAUACCGCCGUCCCUUUUAGCCUACCUUUUGAAAGACUAACAGUAAGCCUAACAGUUUAUUAACUAAAAAGUCAGGUCAAGGUGUAGCUUAUGGAAAGGAGAAAAUGGGCUACAUUUUCUUCUACAGAACAUCUACGAAAUGUUUUCUGAAAUGAUUACAUGAAGGAGGAUUUAGUAGUAAGCCAAAUUAGAGCAUUUGACUAAAUUAAGCUCUGGGACAUGU